GACGAACGCUGGCGGCGUGCUUAACACAUGCAAGUCGAACGAAGAGCGAUGGAAGCUUGCUUCUAUCAAUCUUAGUGGCGAACGGGUGAGUAACGCGUAAUCAACCUGCCCUUCAGAGGGGGACAACAGUUGGAAACGACUGCUAAUACCGCAUACGAUCUAAUCUCGGCAUCGAGGAUAGAUGAAAGGUGGCCUCUACAUGUAAGCUAUCACUGAAGGAGGGGAUUGCGUCUGAUUAGCUAGUUGGAGGGGUAACGGCCCACCAAGGCGAUGAUCAGUAGCCGGUCCGAGAGGAUGAACGGCCACAUUGGGACUGAGACACGGCCCAGACUCCUACGGGAGGCAGCAGUGGGGAAUCUUCCGCAAUGGACGAAAGUCUGACGGAGCAACGCCGCGUGAGUGAUGACGGCCUUCGGGUUGUAAAGCUCUGUUAAUCGGGACGAAAGGCCUUCUUGCGAAUAGUGAGAAGGAUUGACGGUACCGGAAGAGAAAGCCACGGCUAACUACGUG
rnacentral:rRNA from 1 species